AGUCCUUGGGAGGAACGUUUUUCCCCCUUUUCUGGUUUACAAGACCAGGGUAAAUGUGCGACCCCCCACAUACCCUGGUCUUGCUAUACCUGGCAGCUGGUUCACGCACAUUACCCCUGGUCUGGCUAUACCUGGAAGC
rnacentral:tRNA from 1 species